UACGAAGGGUGCAAGCGUUACUCGGAAUUACUGGGCGUAAAGCGUGCGUAGGUGGUUCGUUAAGUCUGUCGUGAAAGCCCCGGGCUCAACCUGGGAAUGGCGAUGGAUACUGGCGGGCUAGAGUGCGGUAGAGGAGAGUGGAAUUCCCGGUGUAGCGGUGAAAUGCGUAGAUAUCUGGAGGAACACCGGUGGCGAAGGCGGCAUCCUGGACCGGCAUUGACGCUGAGGCGCGAAAGCCAGGGGAGCAAACCGG
rnacentral:rRNA from 1 species